rnacentral:rRNA from 1 species
CCUACGGGCGGCAGCAGUAGGGAAUCUUCCACAAUGGACGCAAGUCUGAUGGAGCAACGCCGCGUGAGUGAAGAAGGGUUUCGGCUCGUAAAGCUCUGUUGGUAGUGAAGAAAGAUAGAGGUAGUAACUGGCCUUUAUUUGACGGUAAUUACUUAGAAAGUCACGGCUAACUACGUGCCAGCAGCCGCGGUAAUACGUAGGUGGCAAGCGUUGUCCGGAUUUAUUGGGCGUAAAGCGAGUGCAGGCGGUUCAAUAAGUCUGAUGUGAAAGCUUUCGGCUCAACCGGAGAAUUGCAUCAGAAACUGUUGAACUUGAGGUCAGAAGAGGAGAGUGGAACUCCAUGUGUAGCGGUGGAAUGCGUAGAUAUAUGGAAGAACACCAGUGGCGAAGGCGGCUCUCUGGUCUGCAACUGACGCUGAGGCUCGAAAGCAUGGGUAGCGAACAGGAUUAGAUACCCCAGUAGUC